rnacentral:rRNA from 1 species
UACGUAGGGAGCAAGCGUUGUUCGGAUUUACUGGGCGUAAAGGGCGCGUAGGCGGCGCGGUAAGUCACUUGUGAAAUCUCUGAGCUUAACUCAGAACGGCCAAGUGAUACUGCAGUGCUAGAGUGUAGAAGGGGCAAUCGGAAUUCUUGGUGUAGCGGUGAAAUGCGUAGAUAUCAAGAGGAACACCUGAGGUGAAGACGGGUUGCUGGUCUAACACUGACGCUGAGGCGCGAAAGCUAGGGGAGCAAACGGG